rnacentral:lncRNA from 1 species
GUGUUUGCGUGUCAUAUGCAGCAUCGUGCACUGAAAAGCUUGAUGUGUGAGGAGAAUGGAGAUCGAGCACAUCCACAGAAGCGGCGGCUGGUUGGGCUUGCAAGCACACUGAGGAAGGAGCAGCUCAGUGCUUACCCAUGGGGCGUCCCUUCAGAGGGAGCACGCAUUGCAGCUGUGAUAUGCACAGAGCUGGUGGCACUCACUGGAUGCUCCCAGAAGACAAACAGCAUUGGUCCAGAUCAAAUGCCUCCCACAAGAAGUUCGGACUUCUUUCUUAGAGAAAUGCACAGUCAGCUGGGUGCGGGGCCGGCAGUGCUGCAGUCCAUGUGCCAUGGCCCACCUGGAGGGCAGGCGUGCAGGGGAGCCGUGUCAGACACACACUGCGUUCUAUUAAGGAAAAAAAAAAGAAAGGAAAAAACUUACGAGGUAAUUGAUUGCUUUCUUCUAGUCUUUUAUUAG